CCCUGGUAGUCCACGCUGUAAACUAUGAUCACUCGCUGUUGGCGAUACAUUGUCAGCGGCUGAGCGAAAGCAUUAAGUGAUCCACCUGGGGAGUACGGCCGCAAGGUUGAAACUCAAAGGAAUUGACGGGGGCCCGCACAAGCGGUGGAACAUGUGGUUUAAUUCGAUGAUACGCGAGGAACCUUACCUGGGCUUAAAUGCAGAACGACGUACCGGGAAACUGGUACUCCCUUCGGGGCGGACUGCAAGGUGCUGCAUGGUUGUCGUCAGCUCGUGCCGUGAGGUGUCGGGUUAAGUCCCAUAACGAGCGCAACCCUCAUUGUUAGUUGCCAGCGAGUAAUGUCGGGGACUCUAACGAAACUGCCGGUGUAAACCGUGAGGAAGGUGGGGAUGACGUCAAAUCAGCACGGCCCUUAUGUCCAGGGCUACACACGUGUUACAAUGGCCAGUACAAAGGGCAGCUACCACGCGAGUGGAUGCUAAUCUCUAAAGCUGGUCUCAGUUCGGAUUGAAGUCUGCAACUCGACUUCAUGAAGCUGGAAUCGCUAGUAAUCGCGCAUCAGCCAUGGCGCGGUGAAUACGUUCCCGGGCAUUGUACACACCGCCCGUCAAGCCAUGGAAGCUUGGGGUACCUGAAUCCGUAACCGAAAGGAUCGGCCUAGGUAACGAGUGACUGGG
rnacentral:rRNA from 1 species